UCUCCUGGAAAACGGGUGGUAAUGCCGGAUGCUCCAUCACACUGCAUGGUGUGUUGGGAAAGCCUUUGCGGCAUGGGAUGGGGUCGCGUCCUAUCAGCUUGAUGGCGGGGUAACGGCCCACCAUGGCUUCGACGGGUAGCCGGCCUGAGAGGGCGACCGGCCACAUUGGGACUGAGAUACGGCCCAGACUCCUACGGGAGGCAGCAGUGGGGAAUAUUGCACAAUGGGCGCAAGCCUGAUGCAGCGACGCCGCGUGAGGGAUGGAGGCCUUCGGGUUGUAAACCUCUUUUGUUAGGGAGCAAGGCAUUUUGUGUUGAGUGUACCUUUCGAAUAAGCACCGGCUAACUACGUGCCAGCAGCCGCGGUAAUACGUAGGGUGCAAGCGUUAUCCGGAAUUAUUGGGCGUAAAGGGCUCGUAGGCGGUUCGUCGCGUCCGGUGUGAAAGUCCAUCGCUUAACGGUGGAUCCGCGCCGGGUACGGGCGGGCUUGAGUGCGGUAGGGGAGACUGGAAUUCCCGGUGUAACGGUGGAAUGUGUAGAUAUCGGAAAAGAACACCA
rnacentral:rRNA from 1 species